UACGAAGGGGGCUAGCGUUGUUCGGAAUUACUGGGCGUAAAGCGCACGUAGGCGGAUACUUAAGUCAGGGGUGAAAUCCCGGGGCUCAACCCCGGAACUGCCUUUGAUACUGGGUAUCUCGAGUCCGGAAGAGGUGAGUGGAAUUCCGAGUGUAGAGGUGAAAUUCGUAGAUAUCAGGAGGAACACCUGUGGUGUAGACAGCUUACUGGACCACGACUGACGCUGAGACACGAAAGCGUGGGUAGCAAACAGG
rnacentral:rRNA from 1 species